UAGGGAAUCUUCCGCAAUGGACGAAAGUCUGACGGAGCAACGCCGCGUGAGUGAAGAAGGAUUUCGGUUCGUAAAACUCUGUUGUUAGGGAAGAAAAAAUGUAUAGUAACUAUAUACAAAAGAGACGGUACCUAACCAGAAAGCCACGGCUAACUACGUGCCAGCAGCCGCGGUAAUACGUAGGGGGCUAGCGUUAUCCGGAUUUACUGGGCGUAAAGGGUGCGUAGGUGGUCCUUCAAGUCGGUGGUUAAAGGCUACGGCUCAACCGUAGUAAGCCGCCGAAACUGGAGGACUUGAGUGCAGGAGAGGAAAGUGGAAUUCCCAGUGUAGCGGUGAAAUGCGUAGAUAUUGGGAGGAACACCAGUAGCGAAGGCGGCUUUCUGGACUGCAACUGACACUGAGGCACGAAAGCGUGGGUAGCAAACAGG
rnacentral:rRNA from 1 species